UACAGAGGUCUCAAGCGUUGUUCGGAUUCAUUGGGCGUAAAGGGUGCGUAGGCGGCGCGGUAAGUCGGGUGUGAAAUCUUGGAGCUUAACUCCGAAACUGCAUUCGAUACUGCCGUGCUUGAGGACUGGAGAGGAGACUGGAAUUUACGGUGUAGCGGUGAAAUGCGUAGAUAUCGUAAGGAAGACCAGUGGCGAAGGCGGGUCUCUGGACAGUUCCUGACGCUGAGGCACGAAGGUCAGGGGA
rnacentral:rRNA from 1 species